ACCAGGGAAGCAGCUAUGGCAAAGAACAGCAGUUCAGUGGUGGAGAAGAGGAGGCUGCAGAAAAUCAGGACCUGGGAGAGAAAAAAGCUACCAGCAACAUUCAGACUGAGAGAGGCCAAAAUACUAAUUCAUAAUUAGCCUGGUACAUAUGAAGGAUCAAAAAGAACAGGACUGUAUGUCUGACCUCUGACAGGCCCUACCACCAUAGUAGAGACUCAGUAUGUAUACUUAAUGAAGGAAUAAUGAAUACAUCAGCAAGAGAAAUAAGAGUGACCAUAUGUUCCUUAAGAGAAGCAAAGAGCAGCUCCUGUUCCUGCUGGAAUGAGUCUCCAUUCCUUGCAACAGAAGUGUCCUAAGUUAUAGCCAGAGGACGGGGGCACAUUGACAAAACAUAAAGCGGAUAUGAUAAUAACAAGGUACCAUUCCAGCAAGAACAUCUGAAGAAAGAAGCAGUGUUGUUUAUCUUUCCUUCAUCUAUUCUGAAACUAAAAUCCUUAACCAAAUUUAUUUCCGAAGUUUAACCCUUUAAUAAACUGGCCUCUGACUCCACCUGGUGGAGAUACAUAAAUCUAUGAAAAUAAACCAAUCCAAAUGAAGAUUUUAAAGUCAUCAGCUCUCUUUCAUGUCUCAAAGAAAAAACACAUAUCCCGAAAUUCAAAUAGAUGACCUUCUCGGAUGUGUUAUAGGCACUCAGAAGCCCCAAAGAAAAAAUAGUUUGAGUUGAUCAUUUGACUGUUGCUCUCAGCCUUCAUUUCUGCCUUUCUAGGUUGUGUCAGGCAUUUUGACUGUCCAGGGGCCCUGCAUAUUCUAUUUUCCUAGUUACUUGCUAAGGUUUGAAUAUUUGUCCCCCUCCAAAACUCAUGUUGAAAUUUAAUCCCAAAUGUGGCAGUAUUGAGAGGUGGGGCUUUUCAGAGGUGAUUGGGUCAUGAGAGCUCUGUUCUCAUGAGUGGAUUAAUCCAUUCAUGGAUUAAUGGAAUAAUGGACUAAUGGAUUAAUGAGUUAUCAUAGGAGUGGGACUGGUGCCUUUAUAAUAAGAGGAAGAGAGACCUGAGCUAGCACACUCACCCUCUUCACCAUGUGAGGUCCUGUGCCACCAUGGGACUCUGCAGAGUCUCAUCAGCAAGAAGCCACUUACCAGAUGUGGCCCCUUGACCUUGGGCUUCUCAGCUUCCAUAACUGUAAGAAAUAAAUUUCUUUGUAACUUGCCCAGUUUCAAGUAUUCUGUUAUAAGGAACUGAAAAUGGACUAAGAUACUUUCCUAUUGGCUUCUGGUUAGUUUCUAUCAAUAAGAAUUACUGGUAGAAGUUUGAAAGGUAGGAGUGGAGAGAUGGGACCUUUUUUAUUUUAGUUUCUAUUGGCAUUUUCCAGCAGCAAGGAACAAUGGGCAUUUCAUCAUCAUCUUUUAGCAUUUCCAGCACCCACAGCAAGGAGUCCUUUCACCUGCUUAGUAGCAGCCCUUCAGUAAUCCUAGCAUCUAUUUUAGGUGGUGUUUCAUUUGUGGUCUCAGGACUGGCCCAGGUAGUUCUCUUCUCCAUGAUUCUGGACUCUGGUGAUUCCAUCACCUCCACGUACGCCUUCAGCCAGAAGGACUGUCGCUGUUCCCAGCAGCCAUUUAGCAUAGUUACCUAAGUGUAACCAAAUUCCUGUAUUAUAUUCACUUGUUUGAAAAACCUUGAGUGAUUUCUGACCCACUUCUGUCUCAAGGCCUGAAUAUUCUGAUUCAGAUGAAUUUCAGAAAAUGGAAAAAAAAACUUAGUGAAUAAAAAAGAUUAAAUAGUUUUUAGAAAACCAUAGGAGACAAAAAAGCAACUGGAAGUCACACACACACACACACACACACACACAUUCUUUUAACUUUAUAAGUUAUAAUAAAUUAUGGUAAAAGAGUGACAAGUUUACCUACAUGAAUAUUGAAGCCUUUGUAAAAUCUUUAAAGAAAAAAGGGUACCAAUACAACAGAAAAUUUCAGACUGGAAAAAUAUUGGUAGUCAUCGUCUUAGUUUGAGCAUUUAUCAAUUGCAUUAUAGCAAAACCCUCCAAACUGCUCUCUCUGCUUUGAUUGUCUCUUUUUUUUCCAAAUCUUUUCUGCAUAUUGUCAAAGUUACAUUUCUAAGGAGCAAAUUAAAUGCUGUCACUAUGCUCUUUGAAUUAUCAGUCAACAAAGAGAUUUUUUAAACUAAUUAAUUUAUAAUUAUCCACAGAAAUACAUAUUAAAAGGACAGUGAGGUGUCUGCUAACUCUUUACUCUCUUGGAUGCAGCUUAAUUUCUUCUUCCAGGGACACUUUUCUGACAAUUUUGUUCUUAUACAAUUAUAGCAUUUUUUUUUCUUUUUUUGAGACAGGGUUUCACUCUGUCACACAGGCUGGAGUGCAGUGGCAUGAUCUUGGCUCACUGCAACCUCCGCUUCCUGGGUUCAAGCAAUUCUCAUGCCUCAGCCUCCAAAGUAGCUGGGAUUACAGGCAUGCACCUUCACAUUCAGCUCAUUUUUUUUUUUCUGUAUUUUUAGUAGAGACAGGGUUUCACCAUGUUGGCCAGGCUGGUAUUGAACUUCUGACCUCAAAUGAUCCGCCCACCUCGGCCUCCCAAAGUGCUGGUAUUACAGGCGUGAGCCACUGCGCCUGGCCAGUUAUAGCAAUUUUAAAAACAAUAUUCUAAUCAUGUCCUUUGCAG
rnacentral:lncRNA from 1 species